rnacentral:misc_RNA from 1 species
GCAGAUUGUCCACAAACACAAGGUUACGCGUCUUGUUAUUCAAACAAGCUCUUUUGAAUGGCAGUUGCUCCUCAAAUCUAUCUUUGAUAUUGGGCCAAAGAUCACUCACAUCUUCAACUGCAAUUACGAUUUGAUCACAAUAAUUCUUGAUUGUCUGAAACUGAGCUAAAUAGUUCGCCAUUUCUCGAUCUAUAGAUUUCCUCGAUAAUCCAUAGAUCGAUACACACACAGUUUUAUAUUAUAUGAAUGUAGAGAGAGAGAGAGAGAGAGAGAG